AAACACUGGCAUUGCAUAGAUUUGGAAGGAACUGAGGCUGUUGAUGACAACCAGCAUGCUUGUCAAAGCGAUGAUCAACUUUGAUGUAUCAUGUUGGUGGAACUUGUACAAGGCACUCAACAUCCCUUGGUCGGGAGGAUGCACUUACUGAAUUUCCAUAAGCCCAAUAACCUCCGAUGGCAAGGGGAAACAAACAUAAGGCAAUUAUUAGAUAGGCAAACAUGCAACCUCUCCACAUGGCCAAACGGGAAGGUUGUUGAGCAUCCGAAGGCAUUGUCCCCUGCAACAAUGACACUUAAUUGUACUCUGAAUCGCAUGAAAAUGUCUUAAUGUGAAGAUGAUAGUGAGAAUUA